rnacentral:rRNA from 1 species
GAUGAACGCUGGCGGCGUGCCUAAUACAUGCAAGUAGAACGCUGAAGGAGGAGCUUGCUUCUCUGGAUGAGUUGCGAACGGGUGAGUAACGCGUAGGUAACCUGCCUGGUAGCGGGGGAUAACUAUUGGAAACGAUAGCUAAUACCGCAUAAGAGCAGUUGUUGCAUGACAGCUGUUUAAAAGGUGCAAUUGCACCACUACCAGAUGGACCUGCGUUGUAUUAGCUAGUUGGUGAGGUAACGGCUCACCAAGGCGACGAUACAUAGCCGACCUGAGAGGGUGAUCGGCCACACUGGGACUGAGACACGGCCCAGACUCCUACGGGAGGCAGCAGUAGGGAAUCUUCGGCAAUGGGGGCAACCCCGACCGAGCAACGCCGCGUGAGUGAAGAAGGUUUUCGGAUCGUAAAGCUCUGUUGUAAGAGAAGAACGAGUGUGAGAGUGGAAAGUUCACGCUGUGACGGUAUCUUACCAGAAAGGGACGGCUAACUACGUGCCAGCAGCCGCGGUAAUACGUAGGUCCCGAGCGUUAUCCGGAUUUAUUGGGCGUAAAGCGAGCGCAGGCGGUUAGAUAAGUCUGAAGUUAAAGGCUGUGGCUUAACCAUAGUACGCUUUGGAAACUGUUUAACUUGAGUGCAAGAGGGGAGAGUGGAAUUCCAUGUGUAGCGGUGAAAUGCGUAGAUAUAUGGAGGAACACCGGUGGCGAAAGCGGCUCUCUGGCUUGUAACUGACGCUGAGGCUCGAAAGCGUGGGGAGCAAACAGG